rnacentral:rRNA from 1 species
UACGGAGGGCGCAAGCGUUAUCCGGAUUCACUGGGCGUAAAGCGUCUGUAGGUGGUUCGAAAAGUCCACUGUUAAAAAUUGAGGCUUAACUUCAAAGAUGCCGUGGAAACUUUCAAACUAGAGUAUGGUAGGGGUAGAGGGAAUUUCCAGUGGAGCGGUGAAAUGCGUAGAUAUUGGAAAGACCACCGAUGGCGAAGGCACUCUACUGGGCCACUACUGACACUGAGAGACGAAAGCUAGGGGAGCAAAUGGG